GGCGGCGGGGAGGUAGGCAG
rnacentral:miRNA from 1 species